rnacentral:rRNA from 1 species
AAAUUGAAGAGUUUGAUCAUGGCUCAGAUUGAACGCUGGCGGCAGGCCUAACACAUGCAAGUCGAACGGUAACAGGAAGCAGCUUGCUGCUUUGCUGACGAGUGGCGGACGGGUGAGUAAUGUCUGGGAAACUGCCUGAUGGAGGGGGAUAACUACUGGAAACGGUAGCUAAUACCGCAUAAUGUCGCAAGACCAAAGAGGGGGACCUUCGGGCCUCUUGCCAUCGGAUGUGCCCAGAUGGGAUUAGCUAGUAGGUGGGGUAACGGCUCACCUAGGCGACGAUCCCUAGCUGGUCUGAGAGGAUGACCAGCCACACUGGAACUGAGACACGGUCCAGACUCCUACGGGAGGCAGCAGUGGGGAAUAUUGCACAAUGGGCGCAAGCCUGAUGCAGCCAUGCCGCGUGUAUGAAGAAGGCCUUCGGGUUGUAAAGUACUUUCAGCGGGGAGGAAGGUGUUGAGGUUAAUAACCUCAGCAAUUGACGUUACCCGCAGAAGAAGCACCGGCUAACUCCGUGCCAGCAGCCGCGGUAAUACGGAGGGUGCAAGCGUUAAUCGGAAUUACUGGGCGUAAAGCGCACGCAGGCGGUCUGUCAAGUCGGAUGUGAAAUCCCCGGGCUCAACCUGGGAACUGCAUUCGAAACUGGCAGGCUAGAGUCUUGUAGAGGGGGGUAGAAUUCCAGGUGUAGCGGUGAAAUGCGUAGAGAUCUGGAGGAAUACCGGUGGCGAAGGCGGCCCCCUGGACAAAGACUGACGCUCAGGUGCGAAAGCGUGGGGAGCAAACAGGAUUAGAUACCCUGGUAGUCCACGCCGUAAACGAUGUCGACUUGGAGGUUGUGCCCUUGAGGCGUGGCUUCCGGAGCUAACGCGUUAAGUCGACCGCCUGGGGAGUACGGCCGCAAGGUUAAAACUCAAAUGAAUUGACGGGGGCCCGCACAAGCGGUGGAGCAUGUGGUUUAAUUCGAUGCAACGCGAAGAACCUUACCUACUCUUGACAUCCAGAGAACUUUCCAGAGAUGGAUUGGUGCCUUCGGGAACUCUGAGACAGGUGCUGCAUGGCUGUCGUCAGCUCGUGUUGUGAAAUGUUGGGUUAAGUCCCGCAACGAGCGCAACCCUUAUCCUUUGUUGCCAGCGGUUAGGCCGGGAACUCAAAGGAGACUGCCAGUGAUAAACUGGAGGAAGGUGGGGAUGACGUCAAGUCAUCAUGGCCCUUACGAGUAGGGCUACACACGUGCUACAAUGGCGCAUACAAAGAGAAGCGACCUCGCGAGAGCAAGCGGACCUCAUAAAGUGCGUCGUAGUCCGGAUUGGAGUCUGCAACUCGACUCCAUGAAGUCGGAAUCGCUAGUAAUCGUGGAUCAGAAUGCCACGGUGAAUACGUUCCCGGGCCUUGUACACACCGCCCGUCACACCAUGGGAGUGGGUUGCAAAAGAAGUAGGUAGCUUAACCUUCGGGAGGGCGCUUACCACUUUGUGAUUCAUGACUGGGGUGAAGUCGUAACAAGGUAACCGUAGGGGAACCUGCGGUUGGAUCACCUCCUUA